CACGAGACAGGCCAGUUUGCUGUUGCAAGCUUCAGAGGUGCGGUUGUUGGUUGUGUAAGCCGGUUCGCGGUGUUUUCGCUGUUCUUAAUUUUCACGUUUUACAAUUCACUGCAUAAAGUUGAAGACAUUUGUCGCAGACAUGCCGAGGAAAAACGAUAUCCGUGCGUGAUGCGAGUGGUAAAUUUUGUGCACCCAUUUGUGUUGCAAUUACGACCGACUGAAUUUGAAGAAAACUGUUACGAGAAAGUGUCAAUUCCUCUGAAGAAACAACCACGAAAACGCGACAAAGACAAUUUUGGACCGAUGAACUAACCGAGUCCACGCAGACAUCGUCUCUUUCCCAUUGUCACAAUUCAGCUAUUCCGCUUAAUAGUCACGUGGGAGUGAGAGACGUCGAAGCGAGGAGGAUUCAUUGAAAUUACGGUCGGAGGGGAGUGGGCAGAGACAUAAAGCGAGAAAGAGAGUCACGUCGAGUCGCGAAUUAAAUCUCAUCAUCGAGGAGGAAGGUAUAGUUUGACCCAGUGACACCAGGGUUUUAGCUUGACCCCGUGAUUCAAACAAAAACUAGCAAACAAUAGGAAAUACAAUGGCUUCGAAAUACACACGUUUCUCCUAGGGUGGUCCUCUUUUACUCCAAGAGAAAUUCUCAACCUCUCG
rnacentral:misc_RNA from 1 species